UACGUAGGGGGCUAGCGUUGUCCGGAAUCAUUGGGCGUAAAGCGCGUGUAGGCGGUCCGGUAAGUCCGCUGUGAAAGUCGGGGGCUCAACCCUCGAAUGCCGGUGGAUACUGUCGGGCUAAAGUGCGGAAGAGGCGAGUGGAAUUCCUGGUGUAGCGGUGAAAUGCGCAGAUAUCAGGAGGAACACCAAUUGCGAAGGCAGCUCGCUGGGACGUUACUGACGCUGAGGAGCGAAAGCGUGGGGAGCAAACAGG
rnacentral:rRNA from 1 species